rnacentral:rRNA from 1 species
AACGAACGCUGGCGGCAUGCCUAACACAUGCAAGUCGAACGAGACCUUCGGGUCUGGUGGCGCACGGGUGCGUAACGCGUGGGAACCUGCCCUUAGGUUCGGAAUAACUCCCCGAAAGGGGUGCUAAUACCGGAUAAUGUCUUCGGACCAAAGAUUUAUCGCCUUUGGAUGGGCCAGCGUUGGAUUAGCUAGUUGGUAGGGUAAAAGCCUACCAAGGCGACGAUCCAUAGCUGGUCUGAGAGGAUGAUCAGCCACACUGGGACUGAGACACGGCCCAGACUCCUACGGGAGGCAGCAGUGGGGAAUAUUGGACAAUGGGCGAAAGCCUGAUCCAGCAAUGCCGCGUGAGUGAUGAAGGCCUUAGGGUUGUAAAGCUCUUUUACCCGGGAUGAUAAUGACAGUACCGGGAGAAUAAGCUCCGGCUAACUCCGUG